rnacentral:misc_RNA from 1 species
AUUUCGAAACUCAGAGUCAUCAAGCUUUUUGAUAGCAUAUUUCAUGUCAUCAUAGUUUGUAUAAUCAAUUAUACCAGUGGUUCCACUCCCGUCACGGAAAACUUGGGAGAAACAAACAUCCCCAGCACGGCGCAUGUGAUCCUUGAGAUCCUGCCACGAUGCUGAAUGGGGUAAUCCUGUAACUAACACUCGAUAAUCUGAACGUCUUGACACUCCUCCACCACGCUGACCACGGCCGCCACCGCCACCACCAUAACGAUCAUUUGAUGAUGAGUUACCACGCCCGCCAUGUGCAAGCUCAACCCGCAGACGGUGCCCAUCAAAAUCAUAGCCAUCA